GCGCGAAACCUUUACACUGCACGACAGUGGAUAGGGGGACUCCGAGUGCGAGGGCAUACAGUCCUCGCUUUUCUGCACCGUAAGGGGGUACAGGAACAAGUGCUGGGCAAGACCGGUGCCAGCCGCCGCGGUAAUACCGGCAGCACGAGUGAUGGCCGAUCUUAUUGGGCCUAAAGCGUACGUAGCCGGCCGGACAAGUCCGUUGGGAAAUCCACGCGCUCAACGCGUGGGCGUCCAGCGGAAACUGUCCGGCUUGGGGCCGGAAGACCUGAGGGGUACGUCCGGGGUAGGAGUGAAAUCCCGUAAUCCUGGACGGACCACCGGUGGCGAAAGCGCCUCAGGAAGACGGACCCGACGGUGAGGGACGAAAGCUAGGGUCUCGAACCGGAUUAGAUACCCGGGUAGUCCUAGCCGUAAACGAUGCUCGCUAGGUGUGCCGCAGCUACGAGCCUGCGCUGUGCCGUAGGGAAGCCGUGAAGCGAGCCGCCUGGGAAGUACGUCUGCAAGGAUGAAACUUAAAGGAAUUGGCGGGGGAGCACUACAACCGGAGGAGCCUGCGGUUUAAUUGGACUCAACGCCGGACAUCUCACCAGCACCGACAGUAGCUGUGAAGGUCAGUCUGAUGAGCUUACUGGAGCUACUGAGAGGAGGUGCAUGGCCGCCGUCAGCUCGUACCGUGAGGCGUCCUGUUAAGUCAGGCAACGAGCGAGACCCGCACUCCUAGUUGCCAGCAACACCCUUGUGGUGGUUGGGUACACUAGGAGGACUGCCGCUGCCAAAGCGGAGGAAGGAACGGGCAACGGUAGGUCAGUAUGCCCCGAAUGUGCUGGGCAACACGCGGGCUACAAUGGCCAGGACAGUGGGACGCCAGCCCGAGAGGGUGCGCUAAUCCCCGAAACCUGGUCGUAGUUCGGAUUGAGGGCUGAAACUCGCCCUCAUGAAGCUGGAUUCGGUAGUAGUCGCGUGUCAGAAGCGCGCGGCGAAUACGUCCCUGCUCCU
rnacentral:rRNA from 1 species